rnacentral:snRNA from 1 species
UUUGACGUCAUUGCUCUG